GGCUAGACAGGUCAGGCAAGAGAGGCCAAGCCCGGCUUUGGUCCGGCGCCUGAAGAGCUGCAAGCAGGCGAGUCCUACGCAGAGUGGCUGAGCGUCUGGACAGUGAGGGUUAUGACCAAAGAAAAUAUGUAUUUGGCCUUAAUUUGUCCAGCAAGGAAAUAUUUCUGUGGAGAAGUCUUUAAAACUGGCUGAAUUCAGUUUCCAAAGGACGAUUUUAACAAAGCAGUAUAAUCAUCAUCCUCACUUUCCCUUUUGUACCAUCAAUGCCAAAAUGAGCUGAUAAAUGUGGAAAGCUUUAUUA
rnacentral:lncRNA from 12 species